rnacentral:tRNA from 5 species
GGGGAGAUACUCAAGCGGCCAACGAGGACAGACUGUAAAUCUGUUGUCUUUCGACUUCGCAGGUUCGAAUCCUGCUCUCCCCA